rnacentral:rRNA from 1 species
GCUAAACGCGAAGAACCUUACCAGGGUUUGAAAACUAGCUGCACGCCCUAAGAAACUAGGGCAGCCUUCGAGGGUGCUAGUCAGGUGGUGCAUGGCUGUCGUCAGCUCGUGCCGUGAGGUGUUCGGUUAAGUCCGGAAACGAGCGCAACCCCUGUCGUAUGUUAAUUUCCAUACGAGACUGCCGGCAUAUAGUCGGAGGAAGGUGGGGAGUGACGUCAAGUCCGCAUGUCCCUUUGUACACCCUGGGCGACACACGUGCUACAAUGGCCAGUAACAAUGGGCUGCAAAACCGUAAGGUCUAGCCAAUCCCACAAAACUGGUCUCAGUUCGGAUUGAGGGCUGAAACUCGCCCUCAUGAAGCCGGAAUCGCUAGUAAACGUGGGUCAGCUAUACUGCGGUGAAUACGUUCC